rnacentral:rRNA from 1 species
AAGAGAGAGACAUGCGCGCAUAUCAAUAAGCGGAGGAAAAGAAACUAACAAGGAUUCCCUUAGUAACGGCGAGUGAAGCGGGAAGAGCUCAAAUUUGAAAUCUUCAAGGUUUUACCUUGACGAAUUGUAGUUUAAAGAAGUGUUUUCUGCUGAAGUUUUGGUAAAAGUUCUUUGGAAUAGGACAUCAUAGAGGGUGAGAAUCCCGUAUUUGACCAUUAUUUUCAGCUUUGUGAUACACUUUCAAAGAGUCGGAUUGUUUGGGAAUGCAGUCCAAAAUGGGUGGUAAAUUUCAUCUAAAGCUAAAUAUUGGCGAGAGACCGAUAGCGAACAAGUACCGUGAGGGAAAGAUGAAAAGAACUUUGAAAAGAGAGUUAAACAGUACGUGAAAUUGUCAAAAGGGAAGCGUUUGACACCAGUGUUGUUUUCUCGAAAAUCAAUUAAAAAUGGCUCGAUUUUGUAUUGCUUGAGACCUUAAAAGCUCACUGUACAUUUUUCGUGUCUUUUUUAAUGCACUUUUCGUUUAACAAGUCAACAUCAGUUUCUUUUGUUGUAAAAGGGUCAUUGGAAGGUGGCUUUCUUUUCGGAGAAAGUGUUUAUAGCCUUUGGCCUCUGCAAUCGGAGAGACUGAGGUCUGCAGCGUAGACUCUUCGGGGUUAGAUGACAUUUGUGCUAAGUUAUAGCUUUUUAUAGACAACUUGUUGACUAUAAUUAGUCUUGUAGCUUACUCGCUUAUGCUAUUUUACCUACGCUUAGGAUGUUGAGUCGUAGAGCACGCAG